UACGUAGGGUGCGAGCGUUAAUCGGAAUUACUGGGCGUAAAGCGUGCGCAGGCGGUUCGCCAAGUCAGGUGUGAAAUCCCCGGGCUUAACCUGGGAAUUGCGCUUGAAACUAGCGGGCUUGAGUGUGGCAGAGGGGGGUGGAAUUCCACGUGUAGCAGUGAAAUGCGUAGAGAUCAUGAGGAAGACCAGUGGCGAAGGCGGGUCUCUGGACAGUUCCUGACACUGAGGCACGAAGGCCAGGGGAGCAAACGGG
rnacentral:rRNA from 1 species